AAAAAAAGUGAAAGAAGAUGGGGUGUAAAUGUGUAGUGUGCUACUAUGUAAAACUCUCAUUAUAUAGCCAAAGUUUUACAAUAAAAUAUAGGAAUAAUACACAUUAUUAAUUCUAAUUAUGGCUGAUUUACUUUUAAUAAGCCCAACUAUGGUUUAUUAUCUAAUAAUCCUAAAUAUUGGGUGUGUUUUCCAAGAAUAGUCUUAGUUGACUGGGAACUGGUUAAAGAAGUUAAAUUUUUUUUUUUUUUUUUUUUUUGAUGAUGAUGUAGCAUUGUUGACUUGGAAAAACCUUAGGUUAACUUGUCUUAUCCUAAAAAUUAAAAUUUGCCACAUCACUCACUCAACUACUCUCUGGUAAAAAUUGAAGCCCGCCAUAAUUGCUUCCUCUCUUCCAUUAAAUCAUCUCAUGCAACAACUGGGUUUCCACUUGUGGGAAAGAAAAGGAGUGACGGUGAAGGAAGUAGUUGAAGAUGCCAUUGUAGCACAGACGAAGCUAAAUUGCGUGCACCAGGAAGUUGAUGAUGUUCGAGAGUCUCAAGUGUGUUCCCCUCGGAGUUUUCAAGUCAAAAGAGAUGUCCCGUUUCUCCAUUUGAAGUCCAAGAGCAAAGGAAUUCAAGAGUUUAUUCAUCAAGGUUGUGCUUUCAUGCCGUGUGGGCAUGAAGGAGUGGUGUCGAACCCACCAAGAGUGAUCAAACUUAAUACCUAUAGCAUCAUGGCUCAUCUCGAUCUCAGAAAGACAAGCUCGGCUGCGCGGCCGCGCGCGACCUUGGAGCGGCCGCACCCCUUCUUCUCCCUGUUCCGUACCCUUUUUUGUAGCGGCCGCGCAUGGAAAAGAGGGACCGCGCUCUUUGAUGUCCUUUUUGGAACGUCUAACUAACUUCCCUUUAGUUAGUUUAACUAUAUACAGUUUUUCUUAAUUUUAGAGAGGGAAUUAAUUAGAAAAUAGAUUAGAUUAGAUUAUUGAGAAAAUUUUAGAGAGAAGCUCUAGAUUUUAUUGAUUGUUCUAGAUAUUUAGAGAAAGAAACUUGAUGAUGUUGAUGAAUGCUAUUUCAAAUCUUCUUAUUCUUUAUAUAUAAUGCAAUUUGAUGUUUGAUGUUUUA